rnacentral:misc_RNA from 1 species
UAUCCGUAGGUGAACCUGCGGAGGGAUCAUUACCAGAGAUGGCGGGCCUCCGUGCCCCCGUCCCCAACCCAUUGUUGACCAAAACCUUUUUGCCUCGGGGGCAGAGCGUCCGCCGCCGCCCCCGGAGGACCACCGAACGCUGUCUCUGUACGUCGGAGUAUUGAUUAAAUGAAUGAAAACUUUCAACAACGGAUCUCUUGGUUCUG